CUUGACCGUCUUUCCUUAGCCUCUGUAACUGACCACCCCCUGCCUUGAGAAUGUAGUCCCUGGUGAAUUCUGAUCCAUCUUCUGUUUUCGGGUAUUUACAAAGGCGAGGAGAUUGCCUCCCAAGACUGUCGACAUGCUAACCGGGCCGGAUCACCGACUGACAUUUUACAACGUGUUUUCAGCCCCGAUGUCUGCCUGGAGGAAUAUCCACAUGCCACACCUAGAGGGUAUUUGAAAACUAGGGGGCCGAAUGGCACCCGAGAAACCGGAAGAAAGCAAAGAACCUGUUAAGAAAGCUUAAAAGACUUCCUCUUACCUGGUAAUUAUGGAAUUCAGGAUUAUUUUUUGAACUAAAAAGCAAACAGAAGAGGAAAUAUAUUAAUUUUUGCUAGAGGAA